GCCUCGUUAGCUCAGUUGGUAGAGCGUUAGACUUUUAAUCUAACGGUCAUGGUUCGAGUCCCGUACGGGGCU
rfam:Angiostrongylus cantonensis strain Taiwan genome assembly, scaffold: ACAC_contig0012249